AAUAGAUGCCGUUUAACAAAGCUGUUUUCCAGUAGAUUUGGUUAGGGGUGUGUCCAGGUGUCUCUACCAAGAGCUGCAGAACAAAUCCUGGCUUUCCCUCACAGCUCUGUUAGCCUAUUCUGCUCAACACAACUGCCCUACGAUCUGAGAGACACCGAGAAAUAAAACAGACACACACACACACACACUUUGAGUUUCAUCACACA